CUUAACACAUGUUCUCACUGAUUACCAGCAGAGAUUACCAGCAGAGAUUACCAGCAGACAUUACCAGCAGACAUUACCAGCAGAGAUUACCAGCAGACAUUACCAGCAGACAUUACCAGCAGAGAUUACCAGCAGAGAUUUCCAGCAGAGAUUUCCAGCAGACAUUACCAGCAGAAAUUACGAGCAGACAUUACCAGCAGAGAUUACCAGCAGACAUUACCAGCAGACAUUACCAGCAGAGAUUUCCAAGACGGAGGCAGGUUAUGGUGAUAGUGACCCCGGAUGGUAUCUAGAUGCAUGGAAGGAAUCAUUUGACCCAGAUCAAUGUGAGCCUCACCCCCUCUAACCGGUUGAAGUAAUGACGUCCACUACGGCCUUGUCCCUCACUAGUUCUACCUGAGACCUGAGGCCGAGCCAGCAACUUGUGUACAUGGAAGGUAUUGACUGCCUUUCUCUCAGGAGUGCAGCAUGAGUCCUGAGACCGAGCACGUGAAGUGAGCAUGGAGAGAUCUUGUCUGCUGAUAAAAAAUGGAUGAGACAAAAUGGACGAGACAAAACGGACGAGACAAAACGUACGAGACAAAGCGGACGAGACAAAAUGGACGAGACAAAACGGACAGUGAAGGAUGGUCAGGUGAGAGACUCGUCUGGUUGGGAAAAUUAGACUAUCCUCCAGAUAUUGACUUUGGGACAUCAUCAAGGACCACCCACUGUGACAGACAUGAGUUACAUGUGUGUCGCUGUGAGUAGAAACUGUAAAGCCCUCUGAAGAAGAAAAUGAGUGUUGGGAGGGGGGGACAACCUUGCCCAUAACUGAUUUGGGAUUGCCAAUAUUGUUUAUUUUCACACUGGAAAACAUAUGUCGUAAUGUUGACUUGAAAUAAAUACAUUGAGAUAC